rnacentral:rRNA from 1 species
GACGAAGGAUGCAAGCGUUAUCCGGAUUCAUUGGGCUUAAAGGGUGCGUAGGUGGCCUUAUAAGUCAGUGGUGAAAUCUCUGGGCUUAACCCAGAAAUUGCCAUUGAUACUGUAGGGCUUGAGUAUAGUUGCCGUUGGCGGAAUAUGACAUGUAGUGGUGAAAUACAUAGAGAUGUCAUAGAACACCGAUUGCGAAGGCAGCUAACGAAACUAUAACUGACACUGAGGCUCGAAAGUGCGGGGAUCAAACAGG